GGAGCCAUUAUAUCAUGAGAAAUAGCAGAGAUAAGAAGUCCUGCAAAGCCAUAAUUUGUGUGCAGGCUGACAUGUUUCACCAGCAUGGACAGGGAAAAAAAGGUUGUGGGUUUGUUUUUUUAAAGUUUUUAACACACUUCAGAAACAGAUGAGUGUUUAACCUCCUGAGACCGAACAUAUGUUACUAUGAAGUAGCAAACUUGUAUGUCUUUUGCCCAUUUCAUGGCUGGAAGCUGAAGAUGUUUUGACAUCAGUAGUUAAAGUUUGAUAAAGCUUCCUGAGCUCAGCAGGUCCUGCUGUUGUUGGGGAGAGAUACCGACCCAGCUGGCUGCUUUUGCAGGCAGCACUGCUCUCCCCAGGCCUCCCCCUGCACACACCGACUUUUGGGUGAUAAGGAGACGUUCUCAGCUCUGAACACUCAUCAAACACACCACUCCUCUGGAGUCAGUGAAGCAGAAAACCAAAAGUUGGUCUUCAGUGGUUGGGGAAAAUCGUGAAAGUUGGCGGAGGUGAUCUCCGGAUGAUCCAGCCCAGUUUUUCCAGGACGAGGGAGCAGAGGGCUGGCAAGUGCAGGUAGGCUUCCUGCACUGAAUGUGCUGAGAAAUCACCCUCACAAACACAUUCCAGCUUUGGCAGUGCUCAAGUAAUGGCUAUUGCCGCUCCAGGGAGGAAAUAAUUAAAGCCAUUUCUUGCCUCUGACAGUUUGAUACUGGUGGUUUUCAAUAGCAAAUUACCAACAUCUGUACAGCAAAAUGCAGCUACUGCGGCAAUUACUGA